rnacentral:lncRNA from 1 species
GAGUCAGCCACCUGUGAUGGAUUUGGUGUGGAGGGGGAGUGGGUUCCUGAGUCACAGCCUCGCGCGGCCCGGCAGGGGUGGCAGGUGCUGAGGGGACAGCCUUCUUGACUCACUUCACUCCAGGAGCACGCGGCCCAGGCCCCAAUCCCAGUUCUGAACUCUGCCAUGGCCCGAUCUGCGGAAGGCCCUGUGUCACUGCGUAGAAAAACUCUGGGAGGACACACGCCUUAUGGCUGUGGGUUUCUUACUCCCAGGGGCGGUCAGCAACAGGGUCUUUAGUCUGACUGUGUCUCGUGACUGUUUUAUCAUGAAAAUGUACCCAGGCAUUAUUUUUAUCGGUGAAAAUGAGGCAUAAAUGUUAAAACCCACAGUGGGCUUUUCCUCACGCCCUGCCUGUGAGUGUUC